rnacentral:misc_RNA from 1 species
CCGAGUGAGGGCCUCCGGCCCGACCUCCAAGCCUUUGUUGACCCACCUGUUGCCUCGGGGGCGACCCGGACGCCGACGCGUCGGCCGUCGGGCACCCCGGUGGACCACUGCAACUCUGUCAUCCGUGCGUCGGAGUACUUUGCGAAUCAAUCA